AUAAGACGUUUUGACAUUUCU
rnacentral:miRNA from 1 species